UAAUGCACCGGAUCCCAUCAGAACUCCGCAGUGAAGCGUGCUUGGGCGAGAGUAGUACUAGGAUGGGUGACCUCUUGGGAAGUCCUCUAUGCAGCUCUAU
rnacentral:rRNA from 1 species